rnacentral:misc_RNA from 1 species
GGUUCUGAAACUAAACAGCUGAUGUGUGGACAAUAUGACAUGCAGAACCAACGUUGAGACACACAAGAAUAAGGACGAGUUUGGAUGUGGUAUAAUUUUAAGAAAAAUGGACAUCAGGUCUAACUCAAUCUCAAAAACUAGCUCAUCAGGUGAGUAUUACACAAUACGAUAGGCUUACCUUAGCAUCCUGAAUUUCUAGAUU